rnacentral:rRNA from 1 species
UACGUAGGGCGCAAGCGUUGUCCGGAAUUAUUGGGCGUAAAGAGCUCGUAGGCGGCUUGUCACGUCGAUUGUGAAAGCCCGAGGCUUAACCUCGGGUCUGCAGUCGAUACGGGCUAGCUAGAGUGUGGUAGGGGAGAUCGGAAUUCCUGGUGUAGCGGUGAAAUGCGCAGAUAUCAGGAGGAACACCGGUGGCGAAGGCGGAUCUCUGGGCCAUUACUGACGCUGAGGUGCGAAAGCGUGGGGAGCAAACAGG